GAUGAACGCUGACGGCGUGCCUAAUACAUGCAAGUCGAGCGAACGGACGAGAAGCUUGCUUCUCUGAUGUUAGCGGCGGACGGGUGAGUAACACGUGGAUAACCUACCUAUAAGACUGGGAUAACUUCGGGAAACCGGAGCUAAUACCGGAUAAUAUUUUGAACCGCAUGGUUCAAAAGUGAAAGACGGUCUUGCUGUCACUUAUAGAUGGAUCCGCGCUGCAUUAGCUAGUUGGUAAGGUAACGGCUUACCAAGGCAACGAUGCAUAGCCGACCUGAGAGGUUGAUCGGCCACACUGGAACUGAGACACGGUCCAGACUCCUACGGGAGGCAGCAGUAGGGAAUCUUCCGCAAUGGGCGAAAGCCUGACGGAGCAACGCCGCGUGAGUGAUGAAGGUCUUCGGAUCGUAAAACUCUGUUAUUAGGGAAGAACAUAUGUGUAAGUAACUGUGCACAUCUUGACGGUACCUAAUCAGAAAGCCACGGCUAACUACGUG
rnacentral:rRNA from 1 species